rnacentral:rRNA from 1 species
ACAUGCCUACAACGUAACAUGAAUGCAUUGGAUCCCAUAAGAACUUUGUUGUUAAGCAUGCUUGGGCUAGAGUAGUAAUGGGAUGGGUGACCACCCAAAAAGUACUAGUGUUUUACAUGGC